rfam:Asian citrus Psyllid, Diaphorina citri - Florida Strain, whole genome shotgun sequence.
AACUCCGUGGCCGAGUGGGUAUCACACCAGGCUUGCACUCUGGAGAUCUCGGGUUCGAUUCCCGGUGGGGUCG